rnacentral:rRNA from 1 species
ACGAGUCUGGCAAUUGGAAUGGGAACAAUUUAAAUCCCUUAUCGAGGAUCCAUUGGUGGGCAAGUCUGGUGCCAGCAGCCGCGGUAAUUCCAGCUCCAAUAGCGUAUAUUAAUGUUGUUGCAGUUAAAAAGCUCGUAGUUGGAUUCCUGACCUGGGGUAGCCGGUCCGCCUUGCAAAAGGUGCGCACUGAGCGGCCUCGGUCAUCCUUGAGAAGAGCGGUCCUGGCAUUCAGUUGUCGGGGUCGGGAUUCUCGACGUUUACUGUGAAAAAAUCAGAGUGUUCAACGCAGGCUUACGCCUUGAAUACAUUAGCAUGGAAUAAUGAGAUAGGACCCUGGCGGUCUAUUUUGUUGGUUUGCACGCCGAGGUAAUGAUUAAAAGGGACGGUUGGGGUUCUUCGUAUUCAAUUGUCAGAGGUGAAAUUCUUGGAUUUAUGGAAGACGAACUGCUGCGAAAGCGUCGAACAAGGACGUUCUCAUUAAUCAAGAACGAAAGUUAGGGGAUCGAAGAUGAUUAGAUACCAUCGUAGUCUUAACCAUAAACUAUGCCGAUUCAGGAUUG